GAAAGAAUAUAAGCGCCAGAACUCAUGUAGGGGUAGUUGACGAGGAAGAAGCGUAUCGAAAAUAUUCGGCGGAUACUUCUCGCCCAUUUGUACAGGGACGCAGGUUUUCUACAAAAAUAAAAGGGAAACUUUUUAUACAAAAAGAAAGCAACGUACAAA
rnacentral:ncRNA from 2 species